rnacentral:lncRNA from 1 species
CUAACAAACUAUUUGCAUGUUAAACUAAUUAACUAAUUAACUGCUUAACUAAUUAACUAACUAAUUAUCUAAUUAAUUAAUUAACUAAUUUUUGUUUAUCUAAUUAACUAAUUGUCUAAUUAUCUAAUUAACUAAAGCUGUUGUCUAUCCGAAACUAAUAAACUAUUCGCAUGUUAAACUAAUUAACUAAUUAACUGCUUAACUAAUUAACUAACUAAUUAUCUAAUUAAUUAAUUAACUAAUUAACUAAUUUCUAUUUAUCUAAUUUACUAAUUAUCUAAUUAACUAAUUAACUAAAACUGUUGUUUGUCUGAAACUAACAAACUAUUUGCAUGAUAAACUAAUUAACUAAUUAACUGCUUAACUAAUUAACUAACUAACUGAUUAACAGACUAUUUGCAUGUUAAAUUAUAUGCAGUACGCAUUACCUAUUUAAAGUAUCGGCUCUUUAUGGGUAUUUUACUUUCAAACAUUUAAUUUAUGAUAAAAAUAUCAAUAUUUGUAAGUAAAAUUCAAAAAGUGUUACAGUAAUAUUCUUACAAAAAGGGAGGGGAGGUCAGUGCAAAUGUCAGAAAUCUCAGGGGAGGUUUCUGCAAUUAUCCCUACUUUGUAAGCAAGAUGACGAGUUCCUCUUGAUCAUCUUGUCCUUGAGAACCCUAUGUUGGUUGUAUUGUUUAUCUAUUUAAUCUUCAUUGACUUGUAUUUCGUGAUAUUUACUAUGAAUGAAUUUUAGCUAUCAUUUUUGUCGGACUAGCAAUGAGCAUCUGCAUUGCACAUGUUAGUCAAGACAUAAUGCGCAACAGGUCUUUUGUCUUAUUUCUGUUUUAUUUUUUGUCUCACUUUUUAUUAUAUUGCUAUUUUUCCUUCAUAAAUAUCGUAUUUUAAUUCUUUUUUUAUUUUCUUAAUAUUCAAUAACUGUUAACUGAGCAAUGAGAUUUUUUUAUAAAUUUAACAAAAUUAAAAAAUCGAAAUGCACAGAAAAAUGAGAUUUUUUUAAUGAUUUUUUUGCUGUAUUUUGUGAUUUCCUAUUAUAUAUUUGCUUUUUAGAAAUCAUUGUAUUUUUUUACUGUGUUAGCAGUUAUUUGAUAAUAAGAAAACAAAAAAAAAUGAUAUUUAUGAAAGCGAAAUACCAAUAUACUAAAAAGCGGGAUAUAGAGCGGAUACAAAGUGAGAUAGAAGAUUCAUUACACAAUAUCAAGAGUUGAAUUUUAGGGGAAUUACCAAAGGUGUGUGAAAGCUUUUUUGAGCGAGUAUUAUUGUACAUUCAACAAUUUAACAAAUCAAAUAUACCUUCCACUUAAAAUUUUGUACACAAAUUGAGUCAGUCAUAUUGUAAUCAAAUGUAAGCAAAUUUAAUUAUGAAUCCAGUCUAACCAAAAAAAAAAAGCACUGAACAUUAUCUCUAAGUAUUUAAUGAGGUUAUCAAACACCUCUAAAUUUUGAAGUUUUCACUGUAAUCCAAAACACAAGUUAGUAGUAAUAUGAAUACAUGGAUAGUAUACUCUAAAACAUGAUGCUUUUAUGAGAUGCAUGGGCUGUAAGACUGUCAACAGAUUGGGCCUUAACUUAGAUUCGAUCCGUUUUUUAGGUUAUAAAUAGAUAGUACAUCCAUUUACUCGAACUUGUUUUGUUUAUAAGUUGAACGCGCAGGUUAUGGAUUUAUAUAUUUCGAUCCAUUUUGAAUCAGGAUUCGAUCAGUAUAAAUAUUUUAAUUAAAAUACUAUAUAUUAAUUAAAUUUUAUUACUAAUCCACUCAUUUUUUCUAAAAAAGAUUUUCUAGAAAUCGAAUAAUUGUUAGAAUUAAUCCGAUUGUAUUGUUUAUAUUUAAAUAAAACUUUAAAAUUAUUAAAGAAUUAUUGUAUUAAAUUAAUCUAAAAAUCCAAAAAUGCCUAACCUAGAUCCUGAUCCAGCCAAGUUUGAAUUCUAAACUAUAUAUUGAGAAUUGUCUUGGUUUGGUUCCCAAUCAUUUUAUUACAUGUCGGAUCCAAAUGUGGAAUUACCAAUUUCAACUUGAAUCCGACCCCUUGACACCUUUAGUGGGUAAAAAUCAAUAUAUCCUUAAAUAAUGCCAAAAAAAAUUAUAAAAGUAAAUUAACGAUAGUAAAAUAAUAACAUCUCUAAUCUCCAUGAUUCGUAAAAUAUUAGUAUCUCUCUUUUAAAAAAAAAAAAUUGAACAAUAUUAACAUCUCUAAUAUCCAUCAUUUUAUUCGAGAAUGAUGACUCAUUGGCAUGUGAGAGCAUACUAAAAGAGCUACUAUUAGUCAAUCUCUAAAAUCCUAGAUACUUAACUAUCUAUACUCUUUUGGAUUUAACUAUUAUUGGCCCCUGUCGGGGUUUCUAUCCCACAUCGGCUUUGGGGGGGUUGGGAUUUGGGUAGUUAAGUCCCUGGGAGCAAUCCAAGAGUUGCCGGCUUUUGGGCAAUGUUUUAAAACCCGGACCGUCAAUUGAAUCGGUGAGGUGAAAGGGUCGAGGUUCAACCGGUCGGACCGGUUCAACCUCGAUUCAAUGAAUUUUUUUAAAAAUAAUUUAUAUAAAUAUAUAUAUGCACAAAAUAAGACAUGCAAUGGACUAAUUUAAAACUUUAUAUGAUGAAAAGUUCACUAUUUUUGAAUAAUUUGGAUUUUCAAAAAUAAAUUAUUUAAAUUAUAAGUUAAAAUAAAUAAAUUUCAUCUCAAUUUCAAUUAUAUCUAUCAAAAAAAUCUUAAAUCCAACCCAAAAAUAUCACAAUAUUUUGAAAUUAUACAAAUUCACGUCUAUGAGAAUUUGAUAUUGUGAACUUAAAUUUUAAUUUACGUCUUUGAGAUUUAAAGAUUGUAAUUUAAAAAAGAAAGUUUGGAGUUCGAAAGAAGUUAAGAGAAUUGAAAAUAGAAAUGCAAACUUGAUAAGAAACAAAAAAUGAGAUAAAAGUGAGUGGUUGUGGCAUUAAAUAAUUUGGGUUAAAGAAAAAUAAUUCUUUUUUAACUUUUUCCAAUUUAAUGGGCAAAAACAAAAUUAAAAGAUAGAAGAAAACAUCAAUAAAUUAGAACUAAUGAGGUUUGAUUAAAAAUGGAGUGACAAAAGAAAAGAUGAGGGAGAAAAGAAAGAGUUGAAGAUUAAAAAGAAAUAGUCAUGAGAGGAUGAGAUUUUGUAAGAAAAAUGGAAAAAUGAAAUAUAGAUGUUUGUUUUAUAUAAAUAAGUUAUCAAAAAAAGCAAAUAAGAUGUGAUGGUGCAAUGGUUACUACAUUGGUCUUCUAUUACAAAGGUUUUGAGUUCAAAUCUUGAUAGAAGCAUUUUGCAAAAAGUAAAAAAAAAAAAAUAAAAUAAAAUAAAAUAAAAAUAGGAAAACUCAAAAACCGGUUCGAUCCGGUUCAACACGGUUCACCGGUUUUCCCGAUUUUUACCGGGUUUGACCGGUUCUCUGGCAAAGUCAACCAGAGCAUAGAAUCGGACCGGUGCCAUGGCCGGUUCGCGGUUCAACCGGUCGAACCGGCCGGUCCGGUCCGGUUUUCAAAACAUUGCUUUUGGGUUGACUUUUGGGAUUAGGUUUAAUUAGUCAAAUUUUCGUUUCUCGAAAGAAGGAUUUAACUAUUAUUUUCUCGAAGUAUAGGUCACUUAUAUCGGGUCUCUUUCUAAUUAAUCAAACUAAUCAAUUGUUAAAAAAAUCAUCAGCCAUCACCUUCACAGUAGGCUCCACUGACUGUUGAUGAUUCAAAAUCGUGUGCAAAUUUGAUUCUAAAAGCCCCACCAAUCACAUUUCUUCUGUGGCCACUGGCCAUUUGGUCCGAUGGUCAUCACCCUCUUUGGUGAUGCUGGAGGUCAAGGAUUCAACCCCUGCCUCUCACAAAUUUGCCACUUUAUGUGGCUGGUCUUCUGCCCCCACGGGAUAGCUCGAGCGAUCCGCUCCCCCUCCUUAGGGUAUGGCGACCUUCCUGGUUUGUCCAGGAUUCGAGUCUCGCUGUUAACGUGCUCAGUGUGGAGUGGGACCUCCUCUCCCGGGUCGCAGGGAAUUAGUCGAACCCCGUAAGAAUUGACCCGGACACCCUGUGUUGACAAAAAAUAAAUAAAUAAAAAAUCACAUUUCUUCUGUCAAAUGACACUAAUCUUCUGAUUCCAUUCUUCCCAACUUUUCCUUUAGAUACCACAUCAUCUCCCCGCCUCUCUCCCCUGAGUCUUCAUCACUGAAAAACCCGAUCCAAACUCACAAGGCUGAGACAAAAAAGGAGUUGCUGUAUUGUUUUCACAACCAUCAGAAGCUAGCUGAGCUCCGAUGUAAGUCUUUAUAUAGCUCAAUGGAAGAUUACUUCUUUUCUUUUCUUCCCUUUAAAUAUUCUGCUAAAUUUAUGGAAGAUGCUAUUUUUGGUCGAAGCUGCCGUUUCUGGUUUUAGUAAUUUGUGUUGGUGAAGAAAGGAGAAGAGCAGAUUUUUGUUUUAGGCUAAGAAUAGAAAAGGUACAGGUAUUGCGACAGUUGAGUUAGUUUGCGUCAGAUUGUUGGCGGUCCGGAUUGGGCUGUGGUUCACGCGAAAAAACAAAAAAUUCUGAACCAUUUAUCUUUUGUUUUCGGUGGGGGUUAAAAAAAUGAGUUAAGUUACUCCAUAUUUGAAUCGAGUUCGAUUUAAUAAGAAUUAGUUUGAAUUUGGUUUGUUAAUUAAUUAAACCAAACUUACAUAAUGUUUUGUGUUUUAUAAAUUUUCAAACUCGAUUCGAACUUGAUUUUAUUAGCAUUUUUAUGCUAAUUUUAUUAACAUGAAAUGAUAAUUUAUAAGUAAAAAUUACAAGCUACUUGAGCUCAAUUUGAUCUCGAUUCGAUAAAAGCUGGUCCAAGUUUGGUUUGAAAAAUUAAUAAGCUAAACUUGAACACAUUUUCAACAUUAUUAGAAUAAUCAAACAAAUUUAAAUAUUAAAUUGUUGUACAUGGUUAGACUCAGUUGUAGUGCUACAUUUGAGAGUCAUCUAAGUUGGGCCACAUUUGGUGCGACCCAUUUAGGCCCAGAUCAGAGUGAUCUGGAGGUUUUUAUAUUUUUUCGUCUCCCUAAGACCGGAUUCUAUUUAGCUUUGGGCCACUUUUGGCUAAGUCUUGACAUACAGACAACGCUUGAAAGUUCAAUUCUCCUAUUCCUAAUAUUUUGAUUAGUCCUUAUUAGGUGUUUGGUUCGUAUUUCGGAAUCAAAAUUGGAGCCUCAAUUAUAAACCUCAUCAUGGAUGUGGUUUUUGUUCAUCUGCCCUCACGAUUUGGCAUUGGAAUGGGUUUCAUUCCACUGAAGAGUUUAUCAACUUUUUUAUUUCGAAGCAAGAGUUAAUCAACUUGAAGCGCAAGUGGGACACGAUAAAAGAUAAAAUCUAUUACUUUCAUUACCAUUUAAUGAUUUCCAUUUUGGUCUACCGAACAAUAGGCAUAGGUAUCCUUAACUUUAAUAUAUACCGAUAGAGAUAGCAAUUAGGGCGGGUGCCCAUUGAGGGCUAAUGGAGCAGGGGCGAAUUUUUUCCCAAUUUAGAAAUGGGCCCGGGGGGGGGGGGAGUAUACCCCCAUCCUAUCCCCCACCCAGCCAUCAGUUUAAAAAAUUAAUAAAUACACAUAUAUGUAUAUAAUUAUAUAUAAUAUUUAACUUAAUUAUUUACAAACUUAUAAUAAUGAUAUUAUUAGUUAUAUGCAUUAUAUAUUGUAUAUUAGUAUUUGUAAUAUAAUUGAUAUUAGUAAUUAUACUAAUAAUUAUACAUGUCUACUAAUAGAAAUUAUUAAGUAGCUAUAAUAAAUUUAUUAAUACAUUUAUAUUAAAUUCCUAAUUACACUUGACACAAUAACACUUUUUCUUAAAAAAAUACAAUAAUGAUUUAGUGAUUGUAUUUAUAUCAAAAGUGAAAACUUGACUACUUUGGUUGUAUUUAUUCUAUCAUGUUGGAUUGUAUUCAAAUAACUUUUGUUUGAUUAUUUUUAUGAGUUUCAAUUGUGAAAUUAUAAUAGAUCAUAACUUUGUGAUGUGUUAAUAUCUUAGUACUUGAUUAUUUGUUAAAAUUUGACUGUAAUAAAAUUAUAUAACAAAUUUUUAUUAGCUCCAUGGAGAAAGUAAGACUAGACGGGGAGAGCGGGGGAUGGGGGCGAGGGGAACUAAUGGGCAGCGGGGAGGGUGGCGGGGGAGGGAUCCCCCACCCGAACCCCGCCCGAUUGCCAUCCCUAAUUAUCGACACUUAGACUAAUUUACCAAAAUGAGCACUCUUAAUUCCAGUACAAUUUUGUCCUUUUGUAACUUUACCAAUUUUUAGGGAUAAUUGUUUAUAUUGGACUCCAAUCAUUUGGGCUGCAAACCAUGGUUGGGAGCCUCGCUUGGUCCAACCAGUUAAACCCUCAACUCCUCUGCCUUCCAGUCUUGGUAAGUACAAAACCUGAUGGGGUUAAAAAUUGUUCAAUUUGGGUAAACUCAGAAGGACCGGUGCUAGUUCAGCCAUUAACCUAUUGAACCAAGAUUAUUUGUAAUGAAUUUGGUAUUGAUCCCAUUAAGUUUAAGUCGGAAUUAUAUGCCUUACCAGUGGAUGCUUGUCGUCCACUAAUUAAAAAGACAAUCAUUUUAUUUAUCUUGUGAUUUCUCUCGCGAAUUCUUUACGUCGCUAGAAAUCGUUUAAACUUUUAUUUGUCUUUUUUAGUUUUCAAUCUAGCUUGUCUUUUACUUUUUAAGUGGGUAAAGAUACAUCUAUUUAUUUUUACUAAUUUAUUUCCUUUGCUUGUUAUUCAGUUUUGACCAAUUGCAAUCUACACAUUUGACUACAUUGGACUUGUGUUAGACCUAUUUAUCCUAACAUUCCAGUCAUUACUUACAAAAAAGUGAACAGCACAAGAGAUGGAAAACAGGGAGAAAGACUACAAAGCUCAUGUUUUGGCUAUUCCAUUUCAAAGUCCGGGCCACAUAAAUCCUAUGCUUCAGUUACGUAAGAAAUUCAUACGUAAAGGUCUGAAAGCCACACUAGCCAUCACCAAAUUCACCUCCAACGUUAUGUAUACAAAAUCAGACAUAGUCCAGAUUGACAUAAUAUCAGAUGGCUAUGAUGAAGGUGGCUUCUUUGUCGCUGACCCUGUCCCAAUCUCCAUGGCUCGCUUUAAAGAAGUUGGCUCACGAUCAAUCAUUGAACUCAUGACGAAGUAUGAAUCCUUAGGGACUCCAAUUGACUUCAUCGUUUAUGAUUCCUUGCUACCUUUUGUGCUUGAAUUCUGUAAAGAAGUUGGUUUACCUGGAUUGGCUUUCUUGACUCAACAAUGUGGUGUUAACUACAUAAUGCACCAGUUUUAUCAUGGAAAGUUGUCUAAUCCGGUGUCUGAGUUUCCAAUCUCGAUUCAAGGAUUGCCGCCAAUUGAAUCUGCAGAUCUUCCUUAUUUUGAGCUGGAAAAGGAGGUAACCAUUCUUAGAUGCUUUGUUUUCUUGUUAUUGACCGCUGCAAAGUUUAGUUCAUUGACAAUAAACUGGUACUCAUGAGUAUUUUGGUGCAUGUGUCUCGGUGCAUGAACUAAGUUCAGUAUUUCUCGUUAAAUAAACAAAAUAUUCAGAGCAAAAACAAUUUUGGGGGUAAACAAUUUUUCUCAUACAAGCUGGAUCUAGCCAAGUACAGAUCCUAAAUUACAUAUCGAGACCCCUCUAUAUCCAUCUCCGAAUCGUUUUAUUAUUGAGUCCGAAAUUAUGUCAUGAACUAAAUCUAUUAGCUAAGGAAAGUCCAGAAAUGAAUUAUCUGGAUUUGUUAGUAGGAGAAAGGGAAAUAAUUAUGAAGAUGAAUAAGAAGAACAAUAGGGAGAAGUAGAAAAGAUCUGGAAAAGAGACGGGAAUUUGUUAUUGAAGAUCAGGAAGAAAGAUACCAAUUCGGUUACAACUUCCCUAUCCUUUCGGAACAAUAUGACUUGAUUCGAGUCGAGCUCGUGCUCGAAAAAAAUAAAAAAUAAAAAUUGUUUUUUAAAAAAUAAAUAAAAUAAUAUUUUUUUAUUAAUAAAUAAUAAAAUAAUAAGGAUAUAUAUGUAAUUUUACUAUUAAAAUUUAAAAAAUAAAAAAAAUAUAUAUAAUUAUAAUAAAAAAAAUAAAAAAUAUAUAUACUUAAAAUAAAAAAAUAAAAAAAAAUAUACUUAAAAUAAAAAAAUAAAAAAUAUAUAUACUUAAAAUAAAAAAAUAAAAAAUAUAUAUACUCGUGCUCGCGAGCCUAACGAGCUUAAUAUUUUGAGCUCAAGUUCGAGAUCGAUUUCGACUCGAGCCAGCUCGAACUCGACUCGAGCUGGUCGCGAGCGGCUCGAUUCAUUUGCAGCCCUAGUUAUUCUAUUCUGUACUCUUAAGGCAUAAUAUAAAACAAUUUAAAGAGGUGGAAUUGGUUGUUCAGAAAAGUUAAAAAAAAAUUUUUUUGGCUAAAGUUUCCUGAAUUUAGAGGGAGAUGAUAAUGUUCAAAAUUUAAGCUAAGUCAAUUUCUUAUAUUUUGUAUGCUUAUCAUGUGUCCUAAGAGGACAUAAUACGAAAAACAACCUUCAAGAAUUAAACUAACCAUACUAAAAUAAUAACAUCUCUAAUUUCCAUGAUUCAUGAAACAUUAGUAUCUCUCUCUUCUAUUUUAAUUAAACAAUAUUAACAUCUCCAAUCUCUAUGCUUUCACUUUCUUUCUUUCGAAAUAAAUAUUAUUUAACUCGAGAAUGAUGACGCAUAGGCAUGCGAGAGCAAACCAAAAGAGCUGUUAAUCAAUCUCUAAAAAUACUAUAUAGUACCUCUAAUCUCUGGGAUUUAUUUAUUUAACUAUAUCGUGCCUCUCUUUCUAAUUAGUCAAACUAAUCAGCCGUUAAAAAUUCAUCAGCCAUCUGAUUGGAAAUCGUGUGAAAAUUUGAUUCUGAAACCCCCACAAAUCACAUCUCGUUUCUUCUGUCAAAUGACUCUAAUCUUCUUAUUCCAAUCUUCCCAACUUUUGCUAUAAAUACCACAUCUCCCAAAACCCACCACCCGGGCCCCCCGGGAGUCUUAUCUUCAUCACUGGAAGACCGAUCCAACUCACAAGCCUGAGACAAAAGGAGUUGCUGUUUUCCACCCAUCAAAAGCUAGCCAGCUGAGCUCCGAUGUCAGUCUUUUCCGGUGUUCAUUUUUUGUUUUUUUGGUGUGGUAUUUUACGUGGCUCCAUGGAAGAUUACUUCUCCUUUUCUUCUUCUUAAAUUUUCCGCUAAUUUUAUCGAAGAUGCUAUUUUUGGCCGAAUCUGCUGUUUCUGUUUUUAGUAAUUUGUAUUGGUGAAUAAAGGAGAAGGGCAGAUUUUAGUUUUAGGGUAAGAAUAGAAAAAGCAUUGGGUUGGGUUGUGGUUCACCUGAUAUGAUCUGAACCGUUUAUCUAAGCUACUCUAUAUUUGAAUAUAAUCCGGUUUGAUAAGAAUUAAUCCAAAUGUAGUUCGCUAACUAAUUAAACCAAAAUUAAAUAGAACUUUGUGUUUGGUAAACUUUCAAAUUCCUUGAGCUUGAUUUUAUUGGCAUAAAAUAGAAUUUACAAGUAAAAAUUACAAGUUACUAGAGCUUGGUUCAAUCUCGAUUCAAUAAGAGUUAGAUUCGAAUUAGAUUUCACAAAAUUUUAAAAUAAUCAAACAAACUUAAAUAUUACGAUGUUGCAUUUGACUAGGCUUGUUUAUAGCUCUAAUUAUAAGAGUUAUCGGGGUUGGGCCACUUAGGUGCGCCCCAUUUUAGGCACAGAUCGAUUUAAUGAUUUCAUUUUGGUUUACCGAUCACUAGGUAAUUUUAAUAUACACUGUCGAUCCUUAGACCCAAAAUGAACAAUCUUGCUUCCAGCUCAAAAUGAUUGUUGGUAUCAUCAUUAUUAUGUCCUUUGCCCUGCUGUAACUCUACCAAUUUUUUUCAAAUAAUUGUUAUUUUGGACGCCAAUCAUUUGGGGUGCAAACCAUGGUUUGGAACCUGGCUUGGCCCAACCAGUUAAACCCUCAACUCCUCUGCCUUCCAAUCUUGGGAAGUGUAAAACCUGAUAUGGUGAAAAAUUGUUCAUCAAUUUUGGUAAACUAGGAAGAACCGCUGCUGGUUCAGCUGUUAACCUGAUUGAACCGAGAUGAUUUGUAGUGAAUUAAUCAGGUCAAUGGCCCAAUGCAAUUAGUUCCUUAAAAAUUGGCUGAAAUUACUCUUCAUUUUAUGAAUGACUAAGUUUGAAUUGUAUACCUUACCGGUGCAUGCUUGUCUUCCACUAAUUAAAGACACAAUAAUUUAGUUUACCAUACCAUUUCUCCUGUGAAUUCUCUACCUAGAAAUCGCUUGAACUUUUCUUUGUUUUUUCAAAUUUUCUAUCUAACUUGUCUUUUACUUUUAGGUAAGCAAAUAUACAUCUAUUGAUUUUUACUAAUUUAUUCCCUUUGCUUGUUUUCCAAUUUUGACCAAUUGAAAUCUACAUAUUUGACAACAUUGGAGUUAUGUUAUUUUCUACUUGUUCUAACAUUUCAGUCAAAUUGCUUUUCCGUGCAAAAAAGUGAACUGCAAAGGAGAUGGAAAACAGAGAGAAACAGUACAAAGCUCAUGUUUUGGCUAUUCCAUUUCAAAGUGCGGGCCACAUAAAUCCUAUGCUUCAGUUAUGUAAGAAACUCGUACGUAAAGGGCUGAAAGCAACACUAGCCAUCACCAAAUUCACCUCCAAAGUUUCGUUUCCAAAAUCAGACAAAGUCCAGAUUGACAUAAUAUCAGAUGGCUAUGAUGAAGGUGGCUUCUUUUUCACUGACCCUGUCCCAAUCUCCAUGGCUCGCUUUAAAGAAGUUGGCUCACAAUCAAUUCUUGAACUCCUGAAGAAGUAUGAAUCCUUAGGGACUCCAAUUGAUUUCAUCAUCUAUGAUUCAUUGCUACCUUUUGUGCUUGAUCUUUGUAAAGAAAUUGGUUUACCUGCAGUGGCUUCCUUCACUCAUCAAUGUGGUGUAAACUACAUAAUGCACCAGUUCUCUCAUGGAAAGCUGACUAAUCCAGUCACUGAGUUUCCAGUCUUGAUUCCAGGAUUGCCACCACUUGAACAUCAAGAUCUUCCUUAUUUUGGCAGUAAUAUACCAUAUCAUUUUGCAUACGUAUGUACGCAGUUCUCAAAUGUAAAUCAGGCGGAUUAUGUCCUUGUCAACACAUUUUAUGAGCUGGAAAAGAAGGUGAGUCUUCUAAUCAGAAAUUUUGUUUGAUUGAGAUUCCUUUGUACUUGUAUUUGUAUCUCUCUGUGGCUCCAUCACUUUCUUUUCUACUUUAUGUUAAACACUUUCUUAGAUGUCUCGGUGUAUGAACUAAAUUCAGCAUUUCUCAUGAGAUAGACUAAAUACUCAGAACAAAACAAUUUGUGGCUUAACAGAGACAUGUUCUUUGUUGAAUUUCUUCAAUCUGACGGGUGUGCUUGAUUUAUUUCUGUACUGGAAAUUGCACAAGGCAGUUCCAGAGAAAUGCAGGUGGGCUUUUUACUGCUUUUCAAUGGGUUCCUAGUUAGGCCAUAAACAGAAUCUUUUGACUAGUUGAAGCUGCUGACGGAUACUACUUACUAAGGAGGUUCAUUAAGUGAAAAUUUUGCAACUAAAAUCAGACAAAGUUUUCAAACAUACUAUGUCAAGCAUAGGACGCAGAUCAUUCAUAGUCUUUAGAGUAUCCAGAAGUUCAUCUAGACUGAUGAAUUUGUGAUUUUGAUAUUCCUUAGCUUCAUGGAAUGAUGAUGUAUGAAUGGUUUGACAUUAUCCUUCGUUGCUCAUCUAACUCAUUCAACGCAGAAUCAUGUUGAAGCUACAAAUAAUUGUAAAAUUUGAUCCCCUCUCUGUUUUAUUUGGCACAGGUGGUGGAUGAAUUUUCCAAACACUUGCCAGUUCUGACAGUAGGGCCAACAGUUCCCACUUUCUACCUGGAUAGGAGAGUUGUAGAUGACAAAGAAUAUGGAAUCGCUUCAGCAGACAAUGACCCCUCAAUAUGUUUAAAUUGGCUAAAUAGCAAACCAGCCAGGUCAGUUAUUUACGCAUCGUUAAGUAGCGUGAGGUCUGCCAGUUUCGGCGAAAAGCAAUUAGAGGAACUUGCUUUGGCUUUGAAGAACAGCAACUACCAUUUCUUAUGGUCUGUCAAACAUUUUGAGGCUGAAAAGUUGCCAAAAAAUUUUAAAGAAGAAGCAUCUGAUAGAGGCCUUCUCGUCCCAUGGACUCCGCAAUUGGAAGUACUUUCGAGCGAGGCUGUGGGGUGCAUUCUCUCACAUUGUGGUUGGAACUCAACACUUGAAGCUAUAAGCCUAGGAGUGCCGAUAGUGGCAAUGCCACAAUUUAUAGAUCAACAACCAAAUGCUAAGUUUAUCCAGGAUGUUUGGAAGGUGGGGAUCAGAGUGAAGCAUGAUAGCAAUGGACUUGCAACAAGGGAAGAAAUUGGACGAUGCAUUAAGGAGGUAAUGGAAGGAGAGACAGGAAAAGAAAUAAAGGAAAAUGCUAUGAAGUUUUCCAAUUUGGCUAAAGCGGCAGUUAGUGAGGGUGGAAGUUCAGAUGCAAAUCUCAAUUACUUUGUAAGCAAGAUGACGAGUUCGUCUUGAUCAUCUUGUCCUUGAGAACCCUAUCUUGGUUGUAUUGUUCAUCUAUUUAAUCUUCAUUGACUUGUAUUUUGUGACAUGUACUAUGAGUGAAGUUUAGCUAGCAUUUUUCUCGGACUAGCAAUGAGCACGUGCAUUGCC